CCGAGUUAUCCAACUCCCAACCCCUGUGAAUUAUACCUUUAAUUGUUGCUUCGGCGGGACUUCGCGCCCGCCGGGGACCCGAACCUUCUGAAUUUUUUAAUAAGUAUCUUCUGAGUGGUUAAAAAAAUGAAUCAAAACUUUCAACAACGGAUCUCUUGGUUCUGGCAUCGAUGAAGAACGCAGCGAAAUGCGAUAAGUAAUGUGAAUUGCAGAAUUCAGUGAAUCAUCGAAUCUUUGAACGCACAUUGCGCCCGUCAGUAUUCUGGCGGGCAUGCCUGUUCGAGCGUCAUUACGCCCCUCAAGUCCCCUGUGGACUUGGUGUUGGGGAUCGGCGAGGCUGGUUUUCCAGCACAGCCGUCCCUUAAAUUAAUUGGCGGUCUCGCCGUGGCCCUCCUCUGCGCAGUAGUAAAACACUCGCAACAGGAGCCCCGGCGCGGCCACUGCCGUAAAACCCCCCAACUUUUUAUAGUUGACCUCGAAUCAGGUAGGACUACCCGCUGAACUUAAGCAUAUCAAUAAGCGGAGGAAA
rnacentral:rRNA from 1 species